rnacentral:rRNA from 1 species
UACGUAGGCGGCAAGCGUUGUCCGGAAUUAUUGGGCGUAAAGCGCGCGCAGGCGGUUAUGUAAGUCUGAUGUUAAAGCCCGGGGCUCAACCUCGGUUCGCAUUGGAAACUGUGUAACUUGAGUGCAGAAGAGGAAAGUGGUAUUCCACGUGUAGCGGUGAAAUGCGUAGAUAUGUGGAGGAACACCAGUGGCGAAGGCGACUUUCUGGUCUGUAACUGCCGCGGAGGCGCGAAGGCGUGGGGAGCAAACAGG